rnacentral:rRNA from 1 species
UACAGAGGUCCCGAGCGUUGUUCGGAUUCACUGGGCGUAAAGGGUGCGUAGGUGGUGAGGUAAGGCGGGUGUGAAAUCUCGGAGCUUAACUCCGAAACUGCAUUCGAUACUGCCGUGCUUGAGGACUGGAGAGGAGACUGGAAUUUACGGUGUAGCGGUGAAAUGCGUAGAUAUCGUAAGGAAGACCAGUGGCGAAGGCGGGUCUCUGGACAGUUCCUGACGCUGAGGCACGAAGGCCAGGGGAGCAAACGGG